UUAAGUUAUUAAGGGCGCACGGUGGAUGCCUUGGCACUAGAAGCCGAUGAAGGACGUUACUAACGACGAUAUGCUUUGGGGAGCUGUAAGUAAGCUUUGAUCCAGAGAUUUCCGAAUGGGGAAACCCAGCAUGAGUUAUGUCAUGUUAUCGAUAUGUGAAUACAUAGCAUAUCAGAAGGCACACCCGGAGAACUGAAACAUCUUAGUACCCGGAGGAAGAGAAAGAAAAUUCGAUUCCCUUAGUAGCGGCGAGCGAAACGGGAAGAGCCCAAACCAACAAGCUUGCUUGUUGGGGUUGUAGGACACUCUGUACGGAGUUACAAAGGACGACAUUAGACGAAUCAUCUGGAAAGAUGAAUCAAAGAAGGUAAUAAUCCUGUAGUCGAAAAUGUUGUCUCUCUUGAGUGGAUCCUGAGUACGACGGAGCACGUGAAAUUCCGUCGGAAUCUGGGAGGACCAUCUCCUAAGGCUAAAUACUCUCUAGUGACCGAUAGUGAACCAGUACCGUGAGGGAAAGGUGAAAAGCACCCCGGAAGGGGAGUGAAAUAGAACCUGAAACCGUGUGCUUACAAGUAGUCAGAGCUCGUUAAUGGGUGAUGGCGUGCCUUUUGUAGAAUGAACCGGCGAGUUACGAUUUGAUGCAAGGUUAAGCAGUAAAUGUGGAGCCGUAGCGAAAGCGAGUCUGAAUAGGGCGUUUAGUAUUUGGUCGUAGACCCGAAACCAGGUGAUCUACCCUUGGUCAGGUUGAAGUUCAGGUAACACUGAAUGGAGGACCGAACCGACUUACGUUGAAAAGUGAGCGGAUGAACUGAGGGUAGCGGAGAAAUUCCAAUCGAACCUGGAGAUAGCUGGUUCUCUCCGAAAUAGCUUUAGGGCUAGCCUCAAGUGAUGAUUAUUGGAGGUAGAGCACUGUUUGGACGAGGGGCCCCUCUCGGGUUACCGAAUUCAGACAAACUCCGAAUGCCAAUUAAUUUAACUUGGGAGUCAGAACAUGGGUGAUAAGGUCCGUGUUCGAAAGGGAAACAGCCCAGACCACCAGCUAAGGUCCCAAAAUAUAUGUUAAGUGGAAAAGGAUGUGGCGUUGCCCAGACAACUAGGAUGUUGGCUUAGAAGCAGCCAUCAUUUAAAGAGUGCGUAAUAGCUCACUAGUCGAGUGACACUGCGCCGAAAAUGUACCGGGGCUAAACAUAUUACCGAAGCUGUGGAUUGUCCUUUGGACAAUGGUAGGAGAGCGUUCUAAGGGCGUUGAAGCAUGAUCGUAAGGACAUGUGGAGCGCUUAGAAGUGAGAAUGCCGGUGUGAGUAGCGAAAGACGGGUGAGAAUCCCGUCCACCGAUUGACUAAGGUUUCCAGAGGAAGGCUCGUCCGCUCUGGGUUAGUCGGGUCCUAAGCUGAGGCCGACAGGCGUAGGCGAUGGAUAACAGGUUGAUAUUCCUGUACCACCUAUAAUCGUUUUAAUCGAUGGGGGGACGCAGUAGGAUAGGCGAAGCGUGCGAUUGGAUUGCACGUCUAAGCAGUAAGGCUGAGUAUUAGGCAAAUCCGGUACUCGUUAAGGCUGAGCUGUGAUGGGGAGAAGACAUUGUGUCUUCGAGUCGUUGAUUUCACACUGCCGAGAAAAGCCUCUAGAUAGAAAAUAGGUGCCCGUACCGCAAACCGACACAGGUAGUCAAGAUGAGAAUUCUAAGGUGAGCGAGCGAACUCUCGUUAAGGAACUCGGCAAAAUGACCCCGUAACUUCGGGAGAAGGGGUGCUCUUUAGGGUUAACGCCCAGAAGAGCCGCAGUGAAUAGGCCCAAGCGACUGUUUAUCAAAAACACAGGUCUCUGCUAAACCGUAAGGUGAUGUAUAGGGGCUGACGCCUGCCCGGUGCUGGAAGGUUAAGAGGAGUGGUUAGCUUCUGCGAAGCUACGAAUCGAAGCCCCAGUAAACGGCGGCCGUAACUAUAACGGUCCUAAGGUAGCGAAAUUCCUUGUCGGGUAAGUUCCGACCCGCACGAAAGGCGUAACGAUUUGGGCACUGUCUCAACGAGAGACUCGGUGAAAUCAUAGUACCUGUGAAGAUGCAGGUUACCCGCGACAGGACGGAAAGACCCCGUGGAGCUUUACUGUAGCCUGAUAUUGAAAUUCGGCACAGCUUGUACAGGAUAGGUAGGAGCCUUUGAAACGUGAGCGCUAGCUUACGUGGAGGCGCUGGUGGGAUACUACCCUAGCUGUGUUGGCUUUCUAACCCGCACCACUUAUCGUGGUGGGAGACAGUGUCAGGCGGGCAGUUUGACUGGGGCGGUCGCCUCCUAAAAGGUAACGGAGGCGCUCAAAGGUUCCCUCAGAAUGGUUGGAAAUCAUUCAUAGAGUGUAAAGGCAUAAGGGAGCUUGACUGCGAGACCUACAAGUCGAGCAGGGUCGAAAGACGGACUUAGUGAUCCGGUGGUUCCGCAUGGAAGGGCCAUCGCUCAACGGAUAAAAGCUACCCCGGGGAUAACAGGCUUAUCUCCCCCAAGAGUUCACAUCGACGGGGAGGUUUGGCACCUCGAUGUCGGCUCAUCGCAUCCUGGGGCUGUAGUCGGUCCCAAGGGUUGGGCUGUUCGCCCAUUAAAGCGGUACGCGAGCUGGGUUCAGAACGUCGUGAGACAGUUCGGUCCCUAUCCGUCGUGGGCGUAGGAAAUUUGAGAGGAGCUGUCCUUAGUACGAGAGGACCGGGAUGGACAUACCUCUGGUGUACCAGUUGUCGUGCCAACGGCAUAGCUGGGUAGCUAUGUGUGGACGGGAUAAGUGCUGAAAGCAUCUAAGCAUGAAGCCCCCCUCAAGAUGAGAUUUCCCAACUUCGGUUAUAAGAUCCCUCAAAGAUGAUGAGGUUAAUAGGUUCGAGGUGGAAGCAUGGUGACAUGUGGAGCUGACGAAUACUAAUCGAUCGAAGACUUAAUCAA
rnacentral:rRNA from 2 species